AUAUAAUAUAUAUGUAUUACAUAGAUUCAUUAAAUUUUUAAGCUACCGAUUUUCUGAUCCAGUUUAAUAUUGUCCAAACAAAUGUGGUCGCUGCUACAAAAGAGCAGGAAGAAGAAGAAAUCUUAACAGACUCAUCAAUUACGAAUAUUAAAUGUAGCAUACCAAAAAUAAAUCGAAUGUAUUUAUUGUUGGAAAUGUAUUGCACAAAAAUAUGAUCUUAAGAUACACCAAAUUUUGGUCCACAAAGUCAUUAAAAAAUAAUAAGUUUAUACUUAAUGAUUGUAGUUCUGUAUGGUAUAUAAUUAUAAUUUAUAAGCAAUAAGCGUUUGCGGUUACUUUUUAUUUUUAUAAAUUUAAUAUACGAUCAUAUAUACCUAGGAGGCGCAUACAAUAAAAACAGCUUAAUCUACAAAACCUGAAAAAUGUAUUAUGUAAUAUUUAUUGGAAUCUGAAAAUAGUUAUUAGUGGUGAUGAUUUCAAUGCCAAAACAAAUUAUGUUUUGCCAUCUAUCGGACAUUUUUAGAUUCUGAACGGAAUGAUGUAUGUAUUGAUUUUACAAUGAUGUGUGUGUGUUUUUUUUUUGUGUCUUGUCAUCACGUUUUGGAGUAGUAAUAGUUUUUUGAUUUUUGACUUCAGCCCCUCUUUGAAAAGAAAAUUGAAUCUAGUUGAUACUUCGAGAGGUUAAAAUUAAAAUGUCCAGUAGUUUUCAAAAGCGUCAGGAAGAACCCUGAAAAAGUAACGGAAAACGGGAAUUUUUAUGCAUAAAUUUUUAUUAAUUUUUAAUAAGUAAAACCUCGAUUAGACAGAAUCACUUGGGACAAGGCAAUUUUUCCGUGUUAACAGGAUUUCCGUUUUGACGGGGUUCAAAAAAAUGAAAUUUGAAAAAAAGCACAAAAGAAAUUUUUCGUAUUACCAGGAUUUCCAUUUUACCGAAGUCUUAUCGAGGUUUUACUGUACUAUGAAUUUGUUAAUGAUAUAAGAUUGUUUAAUUCUAUACGUCUACAAUUAGGUAAUACAUUAUUAUAUUUUCGCAACUAUUAUGUUCCGAAAGUAUGACGCGCCUACGCGGGACAAAAUCCAUACCAUCGAAUCUUCCGAAUUCCGAUAGAUACCUGUACCAUGGUUUCGGCUACAACUUUACGGUCGCCGCGCGCCGGUGCGAACCAUAGAGUAAUAUUACUCAUACGCGAAUACAUUACGUUGAUAAAAUACGACGUGAAGUUCUAAACGCUAUUUCAGACGACCUUGUACCAGCGCGGCCAUAGUAUAAUGAAUACAUUUCAUCAUUCUGAUUGAUGAAUGGUAAAAUCAUGAGGCCUAGAGAUGUCUCUAGCCUUCAUGUGUAGAAUUUUACUAGAAUAUAUUAAAUUUUAAAUAUAAUGUUUUUUCUAUUCUGUGACAUACGCCGGCGCGCAGCCUGAUUUUGAUCGAACAAACCGUUAUUUCGAUAGCAUAUACCCAUCGCGUAUGUGUAAUAAUAAACAAUUAAUAAUUAUUGUGCAAUUUGCAGUGCCAACGGAUGAUUUUUGGUUAGACAAGAAUCUAAUGUCUUGUAUUUACUAUUUUUGCUCAUCUGGUCCGACGAAACGCUUCACCUGUUUCCCGAAGGCGGCGCGUCAAGAAUUCAUAGAUUUUUCAUUAGAUCCAACUGAAUGUCCAAAUAUGUGUGGCAGAUCAUACAGAGGCAAAUUUCGAAAAUCUAGUCUCAGAAGACAUCUUAUUUAUGAAUGCGGAGUUGAUCCUCAAUUUAAGUGCCCUGUGUGUCUAAAACGAUUUACUGAUAAGGGCAGUAUGAAAAGACAUGCAUUAAACAUUCACUUUAUUAAUAGGAGUUAAUAUUAAAUCAAUAUUUCAGUAUACUGUGUAUAAAACUGUAUAAUACUGUGUUGAAGUUUCCAACAAAUAUAUAAAACAUAUGUUACCAGAUCCUCUAUACUGUCAGAACAAUUGUGGUCGAUAUUAUACAGGGAAAAAACGUAAAUCAAGUUUAAAGAGACACAUAACAUAUGAAUGUGGUAUUGAUCCUAAGUUUAAAUGUAUAUAUUGUCCAAGACGUUUUACAGUAAAAACAAACAUGAAAAGACAUGUUCUUUUAAUUCAUAAAAUCAUUGAAUAUGUUUAAGUAUUUGAUACACUAAAACAAUUUUUUAUAAAAAUAUUCAAAAAUUAUUAUAUACUAUAGAAAUUUAAAAAUUAUGAAUAUAAAUAAAUCUCCCAAAAUGUAUUUAUAACUUGAUACUUUGGAAAUGAAUAAUAUCCAUGUUUAGAUUUGUAUAGUUUUAGAUUCAAAAUCCUAUUUUAAUUUAUAAAAAAUCGCACUUAGGAUUUAUGGUGCUGAUUUAAAAAUAUAGUAUUAUAAUAUUACUUACAUAUAUUAUACUGUUAACAUUAUAAAUAAUUUAAAGUUUAUCAUUAAUUUACUAUGACUAAUCAACUGUUAUUUUUUACCAUUUCUUAUUUAUUUAUUUAGAUUAACUGAUUAUAUUUUAAUUAUUAAGUAGAGUAUAGAUUGUUUGUUUAUAAUAUGUAC